rnacentral:rRNA from 1 species
CCCAGUUCGGAUUGUAGUCUGCAACCCGACUACAUGAAGCUGGAAUCGCUAGUAAUCGCGAAUCAGAAUGUCGCGGUGAAUAUGUUCCCGGGUCUUGUACACACCGCCCGUCACACCAUGGGAGUUGGAAAUGCCCGAAGUCAGUGACCCAACCGCAAGGAGGGAGCUGCCGAAGGCAGGUCCGGUAACUGGGGUGAAGUCGUAACAAGGUAAC